rnacentral:tmRNA from 1 species
UUUGCUCUCCCCGUUCGCCGGGCAGUGAAUGUUAAAACAAAGGCGAUACUAAGCAUGUAGUACCAACGGCGUAGAAUUUGCGGACGCGGGUUCGAUUCCCGCCGCCUCCACCA